UGACAGUGGUGUGACAGCAGGGUGACAGCGGGGUGACAUUGGUGUGACCGCCGCAGAGGCAGCAGAGGAGCGGGGCAGCCCGGGGAGCUGCGCCCUGCCCCGAGGAGCCAGAAAAGUGCAGAAAAGACCUUUUGCUUUGGCUGCUUGGAUGUGAAGGAGCCUGUAACCCUCUGCCCACGGAUGAAGUGCAGUUAAAUUGUUCUCUGUGACCAUCUCGCUCUUAAAGCACAGCUGCAAGAAGUCACAGGAGGGUUUGCAGUCCCAGGAGUCAGGACUCUCAGGCAGAGCCAGCUUCAGCAAGGGCCACUCACCCUGUGCAUGGAGAGCUGGAUGGCCACAGAGGCAGCGAUUCAGAUGGGGCUGCCCUGUCACUGCAUGCACUCCAAGGGAUGCUGCAUGGGCAGAGCCCAGCACUCUGCAACAGCUGGGGCAGUGCAGACAGGGCAGUUUGCAGAUCCACACAAGCGAGGUGGAUGAGGCAUAAAAAAGACUUUAAAACAUGUUCCAUGCCCCACCUGAAGAUAAUAAAUCACUAAUCUAAAUAGACAACACGAUAACUCCUUGGAGCAGAAAGGUAACCAAGAUCCCAGGGGGGAAUCAUCAACCAGGAGGGUGCCUGCUGCAUCACUGGCAGCAGCCAAGCCAGACAGUGUGCUGAAGCUGGGAGGUGAGAAAGAUGAGAGGAACUUUUAGAAGAUGAAAGCUCAGCCCUGGCCUGCCAGAAGGUGAAGAACGUCCUCAAAGUUGCUUCUGUAUUGGGUGAAACACAGCUGGGCACGGUGCCUGCUGGGGGAGAUGCCUCAGGAUUUGCUGGCCAGAGGAGAGGAUGCCUUUUGCUCUGCAGCCCUGGCUAGAGACACGGCUCUUGGUGCUGAGCCUGUUCACCUGCUGCCCGGGGAGGGGAGCAGGCGAUAGUACACAGCGGGGACAGAGGUGACAGGCAGAGGAGCCUGGCUCUGUGUUUGCCAUGUGAGACAAGGCUGAAAUCCCUGCA